rnacentral:rRNA from 1 species
UACGGGGGGGGCAAGCGUUGUUCGGAAUUACUGGGCGUAAAGGGCUCGUAGGUGGCCAACUAAGUCAGACGUGAAAUCCCUCGGCUUAACCGGGGAACUGCGUCUGAUACUGGAUGGCUUGAGUUUGGGAGAGGGAUGCGGAAUUCCAGGUGUAGCGGUGAAAUGCGUAGAUAUGCGGAGGAACACCGAUGGCGAAGGCAGUCCCCUGGGCCUGUACUGACGCUCAUGCACGAAAGCGUGGGGAGCAAACAGG